UGGUUUCACUCAGCGACUCGGGCCGGGGUCGGGAGCAGGACUGGGAUUGGCUGGCACAUCAAUUUACAAACUUGAAUCGAACGACCAUGAUUUAACAAUAUGUUUCUCAAAACAAUCUCCUGUCGCAGCUGAGACGCCAACUGUAACCCAUUCUGUAACAUUCGAUUUGAGAGAGUUGAUACUGAUACCUACAUGAGUCACCGGUGUGAUGUUGAGUGGGUCCCAAUCCACAUUCUGAAAGGUAUCAAACUCCACAGCAACAAAUGGAGUCUGUUUGGGGGGGUAGAUUGACAAGAUUGGAAGACCCAUGGCAGCACCAAAUGCGUUCAUCGGAGUGAAAUCAUUGGGAACGAGGGAGAAUGCAAACCCGUCUGCAAAACUCGAGUUCCCUUCUGAGUUAAUGACAAACAAUAAAUAGGUGUGGAAAUCAGUAAGUUUUCCAGAAGCUUUAUCCCAAAGGUGAAGAGGAUCUUUAUAUGUGGCUCGACCAGCUUUCCACAAUUCGUUUACAGGGAUGAUUUGGAUGCCUUUGUUGGAAACAUAAGUAUCUCCUUCUAUGACGAUAUUUUUAACCGUUGGAUCAAUAUUGGUGAGGUUGAAGCUCAGUGCAUUUGCAUGAAGAGGGAAGUAGUAAAGGGUGAUCACAAAGUAGAAGAAGAAAAGAGAACAAAGGAAAGUAUGUGAUCGGAGGGGGGAGUUCCAUGAGUUGAAAACAGCCAUAGCUAUGGUUGGUUGUGAGGAAGUGGUUUCUUGAUGAGUGAGUUUGACAUAUAAAUUAGUAAAAUAACUAUAGGAUGGUCACUCGUUGUUCCAAAAGUUUGUUCAAUCAGUCUUUGUUUAGGGUCAAAGGUAUAAUUUUCUUGAUUGCUUGCAUUUCUCAUGGGUGGGAUCCUACACAUUUAGUAGGAUAAAAACAAGCACUUCGGGAAGCAAAAAGUCGAACACAAGACUCUUUACACUGGAAUGAAAGUGAAAUCCAAUGAUUAUUUUUAGUUUUUUU